UACGUAGGGGACAAGCGUUGUCCGGAAUUAUUGGGCGUAAAGCGCGUGUAGGCGGCCAAGUAAGUCUUACGUGAAAUCCUGAGGCUCAACCUCAGCCUGCGCGGGAUACUGCUUGGCUAGAGUCCGGAAGAGGAGAGUGGAAUUCCUGGUGUAGCGGUGGAAUGCGCAGAUAUCAGGAGGAACACCGGUGGGCGAAGGCGGG
rnacentral:rRNA from 1 species